CACCUCCUUACAUGCCUAUAAAAGGGACUUUUGUAGUUUCUUUUAUAUGUGUAAGAUAUCAGAAGAGAGGUCUUCAUGUGAGAAAAGUUUGGGCAUGGUUUAUGACAUGAAAAUUAGAGAGGAGGGUCCUCUCUCUUGGGGUGUGCGCAAAAAUCUGAAUACCAGAUUUUUGGUUCUAAGAAUUUAAAAAGAGAGAAUAAAUUUUAAAAAAA
rnacentral:lncRNA from 1 species